UAAGCAUUAUCAAUUCUGGCGUCUUAUCACCAACUUCCUGUACUUCCGGAAAAUGGGUACAUUUUAAACUUUGUGAUUUAAAUGAUAUAUGAUUGCAUUAUUGUUGUUAUAGGGAUGAGAAUAAUGGUGCUAGAGCAGGGGAAUUUGUGGACAAGUGCUGCUUCUUUGAUGUGUUUCUUCGAUAUCUCUAGUUUCAAAAUUAGAAAAGUUUCAUACUAGUAUGUAUCUUUUCUUAAUUCAGCCACUCAUUUUUGCAUUUUGAUAACCGCCAUGGUUAUAGAAUCAAAUCUCGUUCAAGAUUUAGGAUCUGUAAAUACAUUCAUUCUCUUGUUAUAUGUGGUGCAUUGAGGUGUGGGAUGUACGUUGUGAACAUCUCAUCUAGAUUCCCAGUCGCCCUGAAUUUUGAAAGAUGGGACUUUUGGACAUAUUGUAAUAGGCCUUUGUGGAUUUGGAGGUCCUGUAUUUAGCUUUACAAUGUAGAUUUUUCCAUCAUAAACAAACACGUAAUUGCUUGCUUAUAGAUAAAGUUAUUUCUAUUGUAUGCAUGGUACAAAUUUUAAACUCAUGUUAAAGCAAUUCAUCCUACUUUUAUUGUCUCCUUAUACAAAUGCAAAAUUUAAUUGUUCAAGUGCAUUUGCUGUUGUUUUAUCAUUGAAAAAUACUUUUGCUUCACUAUUUUCAAAGAAUUAACAUUUUGUCAAUUGACAUUGCCUAAGUUACAUGCCUCAUUAGAUAAAGUGAAAGCUGCGAGAAGUGAUCCCCAGAUCUUUUUUUUUUUUUUUUUUUUACCUUUUUUUUUUUUUUUUUUUU
rnacentral:misc_RNA from 1 species